GGAGAGAUGGCAUAGUGGUUAAGAGCACUGACUGCUCUUCCAGAGGACUUGGGUUCAAUUCCCAGCACCUGCA
rnacentral:tRNA from 1 species